AUUGAACGCUGGCGGCAUGCCUUACACAUGCAAGUCGAACGGCAGCACGGGAGCAAUCCUGGUGGCGAGUGGCGAACGGGUGAGUAAAGUAUCGGAACGUGCCCAGUCGUGGGGGAUAACGUAGCGAAAGUUACGCUAAUACCGCAUACGAUCUAUGGAUGAAAGCGGGGGAUCGCAAGACCUCGCGCGAUUGGAGCGGCCGAUAUCAGAUUAGGUAGUUGGUGGGGUAAAGGCCCACCAAGCCGACGAUCUGUAGCUGGUCUGAGAGGACGACCAGCCACACUGGGACUGAGGCACGGCCCAGACUCCUACGGGAGGCAGCAGUGGGGAAUUUUGGACAAUGGGCGAAAGCCUGAUCCAGCCAUGCCGCGUGCAGGAUGAAGGCCUUCGGGUUGUAAACUGCUUUUGUACGGAACGAAAAGGACUGCCCUGAUACGGUGGUCCCAUGACGGUACCGUAAGAAUAAGCACCGGCUAACUACGUGCCAGCAGCCGCGGUAAAAC
rnacentral:rRNA from 1 species